rnacentral:rRNA from 26 species
AGAGUUUGAUCCUGGCUCAGGACGAACGCUGGCGGCGUGCCUAAUACAUGCAAGUCGAACGCUUCUUUUUCCACCGGAGCUUGCUCCACCGGAAAAAGAGGAGUGGCGAACGGGUGAGUAACACGUGGGUAACCUGCCCAUCAGAAGGGGAUAACACUUGGAAACAGGUGCUAAUACCGUAUAACAAUCGAAACCGCAUGGUUUUGAUUUGAAAGGCGCUUUCGGGUGUCGCUGAUGGAUGGACCCGCGGUGCAUUAGCUAGUUGGUGAGGUAACGGCUCACCAAGGCCACGAUGCAUAGCCGACCUGAGAGGGUGAUCGGCCACAUUGGGACUGAGACACGGCCCAAACUCCUACGGGAGGCAGCAGUAGGGAAUCUUCGGCAAUGGACGAAAGUCUGACCGAGCAACGCCGCGUGAGUGAAGAAGGUUUUCGGAUCGUAAAACUCUGUUGUUAGAGAAGAACAAGGAUGAGAGUAACUGUUCAUCCCUUGACGGUAUCUAACCAGAAAGCCACGGCUAACUACGUGCCAGCAGCCGCGGUAAUACGUAGGUGGCAAGCGUUGUCCGGAUUUAUUGGGCGUAAAGCGAGCGCAGGCGGUUUCUUAAGUCUGAUGUGAAAGCCCCCGGCUCAACCGGGGAGGGUCAUUGGAAACUGGGAGACUUGAGUGCAGAAGAGGAGAGUGGAAUUCCAUGUGUAGCGGUGAAAUGCGUAGAUAUAUGGAGGAACACCAGUGGCGAAGGCGGCUCUCUGGUCUGUAACUGACGCUGAGGCUCGAAAGCGUGGGGAGCAAACAGGAUUAGAUACCCUGGUAGUCCACGCCGUAAACGAUGAGUGCUAAGUGUUGGAGGGUUUCCGCCCUUCAGUGCUGCAGCUAACGCAUUAAGCACUCCGCCUGGGGAGUACGACCGCAAGGUUGAAACUCAAAGGAAUUGACGGGGGCCCGCACAAGCGGUGGAGCAUGUGGUUUAAUUCGAAGCAACGCGAAGAACCUUACCAGGUCUUGACAUCCUUUGACCACUCUAGAGAUAGAGCUUCCCCUUCGGGGGCAAAGUGACAGGUGGUGCAUGGUUGUCGUCAGCUCGUGUCGUGAGAUGUUGGGUUAAGUCCCGCAACGAGCGCAACCCUUAUUGUUAGUUGCCAUCAUUCAGUUGGGCACUCUAGCAAGACUGCCGGUGACAAACCGGAGGAAGGUGGGGAUGACGUCAAAUCAUCAUGCCCCUUAUGACCUGGGCUACACACGUGCUACAAUGGGAAGUACAACGAGUCGCGAAGUCGCGAGGCUAAGCUAAUCUCUUAAAGCUUCUCUCAGUUCGGAUUGCAGGCUGCAACUCGCCUGCAUGAAGCCGGAAUCGCUAGUAAUCGCGGAUCAGCACGCCGCGGUGAAUACGUUCCCGGGCCUUGUACACACCGCCCGUCACACCACGAGAGUUUGUAACACCCGAAGUCGGUGAGGUAACCUUUUGGAGCCAGCCGCCUAAGGUGGGAUAGAUGAUUGGGGUGAAGUCGUAACAAGGUAGCCGUAUCGGAAGGUGCGGCUGGAUCACCU